rnacentral:lncRNA from 1 species
ACGGUCCCCAUCCCGACCCAGCCUCCGGCUCGCCUCCCGCCGCGCCCCUGCUCCCAGCUCCGGGCCGCGCGCCGCGGCUGCACCCCGAGCCCCCCGCCCGCCGGGCCCCGCGCCGCCCCCGCGGGGAGAAGCGCCAGCGUGCUCGGUGCCACGUCGGAGCCGGCUCCCGGGACCGUGCCGCCGCCCGCGGGCCCCACGCACGCCCUGCCCCGCGACCCCGGGACCCCGGGACCCCCGCCCCAGCGCGGCUUCCGGAGCCCGGCUGAGCCCGCGCGGACCCAGCCUGACGCUUUCUGGGGGUCCGGAGAGUGCAAAGGAGGGGAAGCCCGGGGAAGUGGGAGUGGCCGAGCGAGGCCGGUAGCUGCGAGGAGGUGGCGAAGGACCCUCCUUCCCGGGGGUCCCGGCGCUCGGGAGCGGGGAGCCCGGGCCGCGUUAACCCUUUGCAUCCAAGUAAGCAGCGGGUCCCCCCCCCCCACCCCGCCCCUUAGAAGCAAAAGGCGCCGGGCUGUUCCAGGUUUGUCCUCCCCACGCAAAGUGGGGGGGCGGGAGAGGGGGUGGGAAGGGAUGGGAAGGAAGGGGCAAGGGGGGAGCCGCUGCGCGGAAUGCCUUUUCCCUGCACAGUGGAAAUCCUUGUUUCCUAACUUGGGAGCCCCUCUGCGGCUCCGGAAGGCGAGGAGUGGAAAACUACAUCCCGGGACGUGCAGGCUGUCCCAGGCGGAGAGGCUACCUGUGUCCCCAGAAAGGCAGCGGACUGCUGGCGAGCGCCGCAGGGAUGGGAAAAGACAGGGAUGCACCGCCAAGCCUGACAGUGAUCUGAAAUAUCCCCUGAUUUUCAGGCUGCUGGGCAAUUGGCAGACCUCAAACUUUUCUGUCGAAAAACCCAGCUUUACAGUUUUUUUUUUUUUUUUAAAUUUUUUAACGCUGAUGUGGAUCAUUUCUUCCCUCUCCCUGGCCUAUUCGGGGGGCCCUCCUGGUUCACCGUCUCGCGCCAGUGCAACAUACCUUGUUCAGCUCUUGGUCAUAAAGUUGUCCUCAGCCUGUCUGUGUGGUCCCGGAGGGUCGGUGGCGGGCAGUUUCCAAAAUUGA